GGAUUCCCCUAGUAACUGCGAGUGAAGCGGGAAGAGCUCAAAUUUAAAAUCUGGCGGUUUUGGCCGUCCGAGUUGUAGUCUGGAGAAGUGUUUUCCGCGCUGGACCGUGUACAAGUCUCUUGGAAUAGAGCGUCAUAGAGGGUGAGAAUCCCGUCUUUGACACGGACUGCCAGUGCUUUGUGAUGCGCUCUCAAAGAGUCGAGUUGUUUGGGAAUGCAGCUCAAAAUGGGUGGUAAAUUCCAUCUAAAGCUAAAUAUUGGCGAGAGACCGAUAGCGAACAAGUACCGUGAGGGAAAGAUGAAAAGCACUUUGGAAAGAGAGUUAAACAGUACGUGAAAUUGCUGAAAGGGAAACGCUUGAAGUCAGUCGCGUUGUUCAGAACUCAGCCUUGCUUUUGCUUGGUGCACUUUCUGGACGACGGGCCAGCAUCAAUUUUGACCGUUGGACAAAGGCUGGGGGAAUGUGGCACCUCCGGGUGUGUUAUAGCCCUCGGUCGCAUACAACGGUUGGGAUUGAGGACCGCAGCGCGCCGCAAGGCAGGGAACUUGUUCCACUUUCGCGCUUAGGAUGCUGGCGUAAUGGCUUUAAACGACCCGUCUUGAAACACGGACCAAGGAGUCUAACAUGCCUGCGAGUGUUUGGGUGGUAAACCCGAGCGCGCAAUGAAAGUGAAAG
rnacentral:rRNA from 1 species